GUGGGGAAUAUUGCGCAAUGGCCGCAAGGCUGACGCAGCGACGCCGCGUGGGGGAUGACGCAUUUCGGUGUGUAAACCCCUGUUGCCCGGGACGAACCACUCGUUUCGACGAGUCUGACGGUACCGGGUGAGGAAGCACCGGCUAACUCCGUGCCAGCAGCCGCGGUAAUACGGAGGGUGCGAGCGUUGUCCGGAAUCACUGGGCGUAAAGGGCGCGUAGGCGGUCUGCUAAGCGUGUGGUGAAAGCUCGGGGCUCAACCCUGAGUCGGCCAUGCGAACUGGUGGACUGGAGCACUGUAGAGGCAGGUGGAAUUCCGGGUGUAGCGGUGGAAUGCGUAGAGAUCCGGAAGAACACCGGUGGCGAAGGCGGCCUGCUGGGCAGUAGCUGACGCUGAGGCGCGACAGCGUGGGGAGCAAACAGGAUUAGAUACCCUGGUAGUCC
rnacentral:rRNA from 1 species